UUUCUCCUCAGUAUACUUGGAACUCUUGCUCUCCACUUGGUUGUGGCAUACAUCAAUUUCCCCUUCUUAUCCUAGUUUCCCACCUGCAUAUCUUAUAUCAUCUCUGAGUUGGCAAGCGCCUUAAUGAUGGGAGUCAUAGCUCAUCCGCUUUUAUGGCCACACUGCACCCAGCAUUGCAAAUGUUGAUUGAAUGAUAAGAAACUCAGCCUAGUGACAUGCUGGGGAUGCAAGUCAUCAUGAGAAAGUUGUUCGUCUCUGCUUUGCUGUUGAAGUGGAGGACAUCUCUUGUCCAGGGAAAGUGAAGCUGCUCAGUUCUCCGUCAUCCUGUCCAUCCUCUGCACACAUCAGAAUAUCUGUCAUAAUUGCAAGGUUCAAGGGUUAAGGCUGCACUCUUCUCCCAAGCAAGCUUUCAGGAUUCAAAGAACUCACUGUUUCUUUCCCUGAUGUAUCCCAUACCCAUUGCUCGUUGGUGUCAUUUUUGUGUUAGGAUAGAAGACUAAGCUGCUAUAAUACGAUUGUUUAAGCAACAGUGGGAUGUUUGAAUAACAAAGUGC
rnacentral:lncRNA from 1 species